rnacentral:rRNA from 1 species
GUGCCAGCAGCCGCGGUAAUACGGAGGGUGCAAGCGUUAAUCGGAAUUACUGGGCGUAAAGCGCGCGUAGGCGGAUGAUUAAGUCAGAUGUGAAAGCCCAGGGCUUAACCUUGGAACUGCAUUUGAUACUGGUCAUCUAGAGUACAGAAGAGGGGGGUGGAAUUCCAGGUGUAGCGGUGAAAUGCGUAGAGAUCUGGAGGAACAUCAGUGGCGAAGGCGACCCCCUGGGCUGAUACUGACGCUGAGGUGCGAAAGCGUGGGUAGCGAACAGGAUUAGAUACCCCCGUAAGAUG